GGAGGCAGGAUGGUUGCUACCUGGGGCGGCCGCCAGCUCCUCCCGCAGGGCUCCGGGCCGCCCCUCGCCCCAGGGUCGCCGGCUCCUAGUGCAGCCCAGGCUUCCCGGCCGGCCCCUCCCAGCCCUGGGAAGACGUCCCCCGGGCCCCCUCAGCCCUCCGCCUCCCCUUCUCUCCCUUUCUCCCCGCUCCUGGCAGGCUGCAGCCGUCUCCUCCCGGUGCUCCCUCCUUCCUUGAGCUCUCUCCACCGCUGCCCACUGGGGGCUACAGCUUCCCGGCUACCCUGGAAGCUGGAGGCCGGGACCAGCUCUUCAGGUGACAGGCCUCUGUGUCUCCACAGUGGGCAGAGGGGAGCCUGCCUGGCUGAUGAGCAAGCCUCGACUUUGUCAUCAAGGCAGAGAAGGGGCCCGGGUAAAUGACCCCGGCGGCCCCCACCCCUGCCUGGCGUGAGAGUGGGUAGGGGCUUCGGACUUGAGGGGACUGGAGCGGGAACAAGGGUCUUCUCUGGCCCAGCCUUUGACUGAAGCUGGUCUGGAGACAGGGGCAUUAGAGAAGUGACUCAUAGAUGGCCUAAAGAAGCGGGGCCACUCAAGGACCCAGGACAGAGGGAAGAGGGCCAACCCAGCUGGACCACAGGCAAACCCCAUUGCCUUUGAGAGAAAGAAGAGGACCCGGUGAAGUAGGCUCGGAGGGCCUCAGCCCAGCAGGAGUGCGGGGUGGGCGC
rnacentral:lncRNA from 1 species